GACGAACGCUGGCGGCGUGCCUAAUACAUGCAAGUCGAGCGAAUCAAUAGGAGCUUGCUCCCGUUGGUUAGCGGCGGACGGGUGAGUAACACGUGGGCAACCUGCCUGUAAGACUGGGAUAACACCGGGAAACCGGUGCUAAUACCGGAUAAUCCUUUUCCUCUCAUGAGGAAAAGCUGAAAGUCGGUUUCGGCUGACACUUACAGAUGGGCCCGCGGCGCAUUAGCUAGUUGGUGAGGUAACGGCUCACCAAGGCGACGAUGCGUAGCCGACCUGAGAGGGUGAUCGGCCACACUGGGACUGAGACACGGCCCAGACUCCUACGGGAGGCAGCAGUAGGGAAUCUUCCACAAUGGACGAAAGUCUGAUGGGGCAACGCCGCGUGAGCGAUGAAGGCCUUCGGGUCGUAAAGCUCUGUUGUUAGGGAAGAACAAGUACCGGAGUAACUGCCGGUACCUUGACGGUACCUAACCAGAAAGCCACGGCUAACUACGUGCCAGCCGCCGCUGUAAGAC
rnacentral:rRNA from 1 species